rnacentral:rRNA from 1 species
GACGAACGCUGGCGGCGUGCCUAAUACAUGCAAGUUGAGCGCUGAAGGUUGGUACUUGUACCAACUGGAUGAGCAGCGAACGGGUGAGUAACGCGUGGGGAAUCCGCCUUUGAGCGGGGGACAACAUUUGGAAACGAAUGCUAAUACCGCAUAAAAACUUUAAACACAAGUUUUAAGUUUGAAAGAUGCAAUUGCAUCACUCAAAGAUGAUCCCGCGUUGUAUUAGCUAGUUGGUGAGGUAAAGGCUCACCAAGGCGAUGAUACAUAGCCGACCUGAGAGGGUGAUCGGCCACAUUGGGACUGAGACACGGCCCAAACUCCUACGGGAGGCAGCAGUAGGGAAUCUUCGGCAAUGGACGAAAGUCUGACCGAGCAACGCCGCGUGAGUGAAGAAGGGUUUCGGAUCGUAAAACUCUGUUGGUAGAGAAGAACGUUGGUGAGAGUGGAAAGCUCAUCAAGUGACGGUAACUACCCAGAAAGGGACGGCUAACUACGUG